AUUGAACGCUGGCGGCAUGCCUUACACAUGCAAGUCGAACGGCAGCAUGGAGAGCUUGCUCUCUGAUGGCGAGUGGCGAACGGGUGAGUAAAGCAUCGGAACGUACCGUGUAGUGGGGGAUAACGUAGCGAAAGUUACGCUAAUACCGCAUACGCACUGAGGUGGAAAGCAGGGGAUCGUAAGACCUUGCGCUAUACGAGCGGCCGAUGUCAGAUUAGCUAGUUGGUAGGGUAAAGGCCUACCAAGGCGACGAUCUGUAGCGGGUCUGAGAGGAUGAUCGGCCACAGUGGGACUGGGAACCGGCCCAGACGCCUACGGGAGGCAGCAGUGGGGAAUUUUGGACAAUGGGGGCAACCCUGAUCCAGCCAUGCCGCGUGAGUGAAGAAGGCCUUCGGGUUGUAAAGCUCUUUCGGCCGGGAAGAAAUCGCACAGGCUAAUACCCUGUGUGGAUGACGGUACCGGCAUAAGAAGCACCGGCUAACUACGUGCCAGCCGCCGCCGUAA
rnacentral:rRNA from 1 species